rnacentral:rRNA from 1 species
CCUCAAAUCGGGUGAGACUACCCGCUGAACUUAAGCAUAUCAUA